rnacentral:tRNA from 1 species
GCCUGGGUGGCUCAGUCGGUUGAGCGGCCGACCUCGGCUCAGGUCAUGAUCUCGCAGUCCGUGGGUUCGAGCCCCGCGUCGGGCU